rnacentral:rRNA from 1 species
UAGGGAAUAUUAGUAAUGGGCGCAAGCCUGAACUAGCAACGCCGCGUGUGCGAAGAAGGCCUUCGGGUUGUAAAGCACUUUUUGAGAGGAUGAGGAAGGACGGUACUCUCAGAAUAAGUCUCAGCUAACUACGUGCCAGCAGCCGCGGUAACACGUAGGAGGCGAACGUUAUCCGGAUUUACUGGGCGUAAGGCGCGUAUAGGUGGUUUGGUAAGUAGGGCGUGAAAGCUCCUGGCUCAACUGGGAGAGGCCGUUCUAAACUGCCGAACUAGAGGAUGGUAGAGGGAGGUGGAAUUCCGGGUGUAGCGGUGGAAUGCGCAGAUAUCCGGAGGAACACCAGUGGCGAAAGCGGCCUCCUGGACCAUUCCUGACACUCAGACGCGAAAGCUAGGGUAGCAAACGG